UGAAAAUCAACUAGAAAUCACAGUUGACAAUUAUAGACUUUUAAUAUCCCUGUAAAAGUUGACUCUAUUCAGAAAGUUCUUUAAAAGAAAGACAUCACAAAAAUCUGUCUGUCCUCACUAAAAUUCAUUCUGAUAAAAAUCAGCUCUUCUGAUACGCUAACCAUAGCAUAUCAGAAAAGCUGGUUUUAAUCAGAUUGCUCUUAAAAUUAGCAUCUACAUUACACUUCACAUGAAUGAUAAACCUGUGUUAAGGAAGACUUUGCCAAGUUACUGAAUGUGUUUAGUAUAAAUCUUCAGCUAAUAAGUUUAUAGUGUUAUGUAAACAUGUAAAAGGACAUUAUGUUUGCAUGUGUGUAGGGUUUUUUAUUCACUGAUGAAUGUUUAGUUAGUGUAAUCAAACUUCAGAUCUAAUUGAUUAUCAAAAUACAAGUGAUUAAGAUACAUGUACCAGAAGAUUAGCAAUAUGAGACGAGUCUUUUUCUCCAAGAAUUUUGUUAUUAUUUAUAAUUUUUCAAAUGAAAAAAGAUUAUGUCUUUAGAAUCAAAGACAUUUCAGUGCUGUGAAUUAAGAAAAUUAUUAAUAGUGUUAUAGCAUGAAAAAAAAAACUUGUACAACAAAUUACUGAAUACCUGUUAUUAAACAGUAGCGUUUAAAUGUUGAAAUAUGCAAAACUCUAUAUGUUUAAACAUGCAAUGUAUGUUAUUUAUAUAGUUAAAAGGUUAUUGUGAAUGACAAACAUUCAGAACUUAGUUACCAAAGGAAUGCAGAAUUUUGUUUACAAGGUAAAUACGGAUGUGAAGUCCUGAUUGUGUUUAAAGCUGUAACAAAGUUGCUGAAAAACUGCUAUCUCGGAAUAAAAGUUCAUUUGCAUAU
rnacentral:misc_RNA from 1 species